GACAUUUCCUUGUAAAAGUAAUCGAUGAAAUACACUGCAAGUAGUCGGUCGGUAAUUGGCGGAGUUUAUCACGUAGUUUCUGAUUCAGCAGUCCAGUAGUCGCUCCCCCGUACUGCAGGGUACAUACAUAAGUAAAA